rnacentral:rRNA from 1 species
AGAGUUUGAUCCUGGCUCAGGAUGAACGCUAGCGGCAGGCUUAAUACAUGCAAGUCGUGGGGCAGCAUGACUGUAGCAAUACAGUUGAUGGCGACCGGCAAACGGGUGCGGAACACGUACACAACCUUCCUUUAAGUGGGGAAUAGCCCGGGGAAACCCGGAUUAAUACCCCGUAAUAUAAUGAAGUGGCAUCACUUUAUUAUUAUAACUCCGGCGCUUGAAGAUGGGUGUGCGACUGAUUAGGCAGUUGGCGGGGUAACGGCCCACCAAACCUACGAUCAGUAACUGGUGUGAGAGCACGACCAGUCACACGGGCACUGAGACACGGGCCCGACUCCUACGGGAGGCAGCAGUAAGGAAUAUUGGUCAAUGGACGCAAGUCUGAACCAGCCAUGCCGCGUGGAGGAUGAAGGUCCUCUGGAUUGUAAACUUCUUUUAUCUGGGAAGAAAUGCAUUUUUUCUAAAAUGCUUGACGGUACCAGGUGAAUAAGCACCGGCUAACUCCGUGCCAGCAGCCGCGGUAAUACGAAGGGUGCAAGCGUUAUCCGGAUUCACUGGGUUUAAAGGGUGCGUAGGUGGGUUGGUAAGUCAGUGGUGAAAUCUCCAGGCUUAACUUGGAAACUGCCAUUGAUACUAUCAAUCUUGAAUGCCGUGGAGGUCAGCGGAAUAUGUCAUGUAGCGGUGAAAUGCUUAGAUAUGACAUAGAACACCAAUUGCGAAGGCAGCUGGCUACACGAAUAUUGACACUGAUGCACGAAAGCGUGGGGAUCAAACAGGAUUAGAUACCCUAGUAGUCC